rnacentral:rRNA from 1 species
UUAGAGUUUGAUCCUGGCUCAGGACGAACGCUGGCGGCGUGCCUAACACAUGCAAGUCGAGCGAAUGAAGUUCCUUCGGGAACGGAUUUAGCGGCGGACGGGUGAGUAACACGUGGGCAACCUGCCUCAUAGAGGGGAAUAGCCUUCCGAAAGGGAGAUUAAUACCGCAUAAGAUUGUAGUACCGCAUGGUACAGCAAUUAAAGGAGCAAUCCGCUAUGAGAUGGGCCCGCGGCGCAUUAGCUAGUUGGUGAGGUAACGGCUCACCAAGGCGACGAUGCGUAGCCGACCUGAGAGGGUGAUCGGCCACAUUGGGACUGAGACACGGCCCAGACUCCUACGGGAGGCAGCAGUGGGGAAUAUUGCGCAAUGGGGGGAACCCUGACGCAGCAACGCCGCGUGAAGGAUGAAGGUUUUCGGAUUGUAAACUUCUUUGAUGAGGGACGAAACAAAUGACGGUACCUCAAAAACAAGCCACGGCUAACUACGUGCCAGCAGCCGCGGUAAUACGUAGGUGGCGAGCGUUGUCCGGAAUUACUGGGUGUAAAGGGCGUGUAGGCGGGGAGGCAAGUCAGAUGUGAAAUACCGAGGCUUAACUUCGGGGGUGCAUCUGAAACUGUUUUUCUUGAGUGUCGGAGAGGAAAGUGGAAUUCCUAGUGUAGCGGUGAAAUGCGUAGAUAUUAGGAGGAACACCAGUGGCGAAGGCGGCUUUCUGGACGAUAACUGACGCUGAGGCGCGAAAGCGUGGGGAGCAAACAGGAUUAGAUACCCUGGUAGUCCACGCAGUAAACUAUGAUUACUCGCUGUUUGCGAUACACAGUAAGCGGCUUAGCGAAAGCGUUAAGUAAUCCACCUGGGGAGUACGUUCGCAAGAAUGAAACUCAAAGGAAUUGACGGGGGCCCGCACAAGCGGAGGAACAUGUGGUUUAAUUCGAUGAUACGCGAGGAACCUUACCCGGGCUUGAAAUGCAUUUGACCGACUCAGAAAAGGGUCUUCCCUUCGGGGCAAAUGUGUAGGUGCUGCAUGGUUGUCGUCAGCUCGUGCCGUGAGGUGUCGGCUUAAGUGCCAUAACGAGCGCAACCCUCAUCAUUAGUUACUAACAGGUUAAGCUGAGGACUCUAGUGAGACUGCCAUCGUAAGAUGCGAGGAAGGUGGGGAUGACGUCAAAUCAGCACGGCCCUUAUGUCCGGGGCGACACACGUGUUACAAUGGAUGGUACAACAGGCAGCUACUUGGCGACAAGAUGCUAAUCCCGAAAACCAUUCUCAGUUCGGAUCGAAGUCUGCAACUCGACUUCGUGAAGCUGGAUUCGCUAGUAAUCGCGCAUCAGCCACGGCGCGGUGAAUACGUUCCCGGGCCUUGUACACACCGCCCGUCA